rnacentral:rRNA from 1 species
GAUGAACGCUGGCGGCGUGCUUAACACAUGCAAGUCGAACGGGAAUUACUUUAUUGAAACUUCGGUCGAUGUAAUUUAAUUCUAGUGGCGGACGGGUGAGUAACGCGUGGGUAACCUGCCUUAUACAGGGGGAUAACAGUCAGAAAUGGCUGCUAAUACCGCAUAAGCGCACAGAGCUGCAUGGCUCGGUGUGAAAAACUCCGGUGGUAUAAGAUGGACCCGCGUUGGAUUAGCUUGUUGGUGGGGUAACGGCCCACCAAGGCGACGAUCCAUAGCCGGCCUGAGAGGGUGAACGGCCACAUUGGGACUGAGACACGGCCCAGACUCCUACGGGAGGCAGCAGUGGGGAAUAUUGCACAAUGGGGGAAACCCUGAUGCAGCGACGCCGCGUGAAGGAAGAAGUAUCUCGGUAUGUAAACUUCUAUCAGC